UUAGCUGUUCCAGGAAGAGAGCUAAGAGUCCGUGAAAGCAGACUUCAAACCAAGAAAUUGAAUAUUACAAUUUUUUCUCUUUUCGGUAAAACAAGGAUUAACCUCUAUGGAAACUAUCGUGGGACCCCUGGUUUAUUUCCUCCUGGUACUUUCUUUUAAAAUGGCACAUAUGGACAACCAGAAUGUAACCUUCACAACUCCUCCAAACCUUGGCCUAAACCUGACAGAAUUCUUUGUAGCAUCAACUUCACUUAACUCUACUGUAACUCCAACUACUCUCUUAACCUCAACCAAGGGCACAGCCGAACAUACCAGCACAAAGCAUGGCAAUACUACCUUCUCUACUACAGUGGCUGCAACUGAAAGCAUAAGUCAACAUCAAACCUCUCAGUCAGCUACCUUGACUUCACCAACAGGCAGUGGAUCACUAAACACCACUACACCAGCCACACAAUCGCCUGUGCUUACAAUGACCACGCAAACUAUCCAGACUACAACACAUUUCAGUACUACAUCUGAUACACUAGGUUCAACUGUAAACUCAUCUCACAGCAUGACUGCACCUACAGUUUCAGUGAAUGCUACAGACGGCUUGAGACUUAACACAUCAGAGAGAAAUAUGACAAUAAUCUUCAGCGGCAUGCUUGGGCUCUUUGCUUUGACAAUAGUUAUGAUCAUGGUUUACAAAUGCAAACAUAAAUUCCAGUACUUGCAUCAACCUCUUGACACCACAGAUGGCACAGAUGGAUUUGUGCUCGAUGAUGACACCCUUGUUAUUUCUGGAGGACUUUAUGAUGCCCAUCCAAUCUACGACAAUGUGCCACCCAAUCCUGCAGAACCGUCACAAUUUCGCCUAGAAUUUCUUCAUUAAAGAGAGACCUCUAUGCUAAAUCACAGUGAUAAGCCAUUUAUAUGGACAUGGACAUAAUCCCAUUUCUCCUCCAUGGAUCAGUAUUAUUUCAGGACUAAAAAUAACCUGUGGAAUUAAAUUAUUUACCAACAGAAAAUCAUACUGGAAGUAAUGAUGAAAAACAAUGACUGAUGUAACUAUAAUUAAUUAAAUUAUUUUAUUAGUUUGUGGGAAUGACAAAACAAACAUAUUCAAAUAACACCUUCAUCAAAAUAAAAAAAAGGUUUAUGUAGACAGAACUAAGGGAAUUGCUAACAAUUUUUAGCAUAACGAUUUUCAAAAAAAACAGUAUUAUGAAAAACUUAUUUUUUCACAAGAACUUUAAAGCAAAGAGGGUGACAUUGUAGUCACAUAAAGAGAGCAUCAGUGUUUUUCACAAAAUGAGCUCUAAAAUCAUAAAUGAGCAAAUAUUAAGACUGAACCUGUUCAAAGUUUUCUAUUUGGAUAUUUUUUCAAUUACAACAAUGUCACCACAUUAACACUAUAAAUUAGCAUAAAGCGAAGUUCAUUCCAAACAUAAAGCUAGCUUAUUUUUAGAUAACAAAUAGUAUGAGUUUGUGGUCAUAUACAGUGAACUUCCAAAGAAAACCUACAAACUUAAGAACUAUGAAUUCAAAGCAAGUAGAAGUGAACAAUAUUAAGGCUAGACCCUUUAGAUUAGAAUAAUUUAUUUAAUCUGAACCUUGUAUUAUAUUCUAUAUGACUUUGUGUUGCUCUAUGAUGGAGUGGUGAAAUUUUCAAGUUUUACCUUGCAUCUUCCGAAACGAAUUCUGGGUAUUGGCACCAGCUCCCCCACAACCCUAAGGACUACUACAUAAAGAAUGAAUGAAUGAACAUAAUAAUCUUCUCUCAUGUCUCUGUUUAUUUGAGGAAAUGUGACUUAAUACAUCUGUAAUGAGAUGUAUUAAUGUAUGUGGGUUAUGAAACACAAUGAAUGAAGUGAACAGUUUUGAUAAAUUGCUUUUUAUUUGUUUCUAAGGCAACUUCCAUAUAUACAGAAAAUACAACAAACUGCAGCUGGUUCCACAUAUUCCUAUUCUGUUAGCAAACAAAGCACUGCUUGAAGAUUGUAUUAACUUCCAAAACAAUCCUAAUUGACUGAACAAUUAUAUUACAAAACAACAUGUUAAAUCAAAUUCUUAAUGAAUAUCUUAUAGGAAUGAACAACAUUUGAGGGUUGGAGAAAUGGCUUUCUAAAAAUAG